UACGUAGGUGUCAAGCGUUGUCCGGAUUUAUUGGGUUUAAAGGGUGCGUAGGUGGUUGGUUAAGUCCGUGGUGAAAGACGAUGGCUCAACGAUUACAGUGCCAUUGAUACUGACCGACUUGAAUAACGUUGAGGUGGGCGGAAUUGACCGUGUAGCGGUGAAAUGCUUAGAUAUGGCCAAGAACCCCAAUUGCGAAGGCAGCUCACUGGACGUUAAUUGACACUGAUGCACGAGGGUGCGGGGAUCAAACAUG
rnacentral:rRNA from 1 species